rnacentral:rRNA from 1 species
AACCCGGGGAACUGAAACAUCUAAGUACCCGGAGGAAAAGAAAUCAAACGAGAUGCCCACAGUAGCGGCGAGCGAAGAGGGCAGAGCCCAAACCUGUAAGCUACGGCUUAUGGGGGUUGAGGACUGACGUAAUUAAGGCCAGGCUUAGCUGAACUACCUGGGAAGGUAGGCGAUAGAAGGUAAGAGCCCUGUAAGCGAAAGGCAGAGCCUUAAGGUCAGUAUCCAGAGUACCACGGAGCACGAGGAAUUCUGUGGGAAGCAGGGGGGACCACCCUCCAAGGCUAAAGACUAACUGGCGACCGAUAGCGCAUAGUACCGUGAGGGAAAGGUGAAAAGAACCCCGGGAGGGGAGUGAAAUAGUACCUGAAACCGUAUGUCUACAAGCAGUCGGAGCGAAAGCGACGGCGUGCCUAUUGAAGAAUGAACCAACGAGUUAUCUGCACUAGCGAGGUUAAGUGGAAGACACGGAGCCGUAGCGAAAGCGAGUCUGAAAAGGGCGACGAGUUAGUGUAGGUAGACCCGAAACCGCAGUGAUCUACCCAUGUCCAGGUUGAAGCGCAGGUAAAAAUGCGUGGAGGACCGAACCGGUGAGCGUUGAAAAGCUUUCGGAUGAGAUGUGGGUAGGGGUGAAAUUCCAAUCGAACGCGGAGAUAGCUGGUUCUCCCCGAAAUAGCUUUAGGGCUAGCCUCAGGUAGUAAGUAUAGGCGGUAGAGCACUGAUCGGGCUAGGGGCCAUAAAGGUUACCGAACCCUGUCAAACUCCGAAUGGAUAUACUGCAGAGCCUGGGAGUCAGACUACGAGUGAUAAGAUCCGUGGUCAAAAGGGAAACAGCCCAGACCACCGGCUAAGGUCCCAAAUGCCGUACUAAGUGGAAAAGGAUGUGGGGAUUCAUAAACAACCAGGAUGUUGGCUCAGAAGCAGCCACCAUUUAAAGAGUGCGUAAUAGCUCACUGGUCGAGAGUCCCUGCGCCGAAAAUUUCCGGGGCUAAAGUACGGAACCGAAGCCGUGGCUGUGUACUUAGGUGCACGGGGUAGGGGAGCGUUGCCACAGGGGUGAAGCUGGUCUGGAAGGACUGGUGGACUUGUGGGAAGUGAGAAUGUUGGUAUGAGUAGCGAAAAGAAAGGUGAGAAUCCUUUCCACCGAAAGCAUAAGGAUUCCUGAGCAACGAUCGUCGUCUCAGGGUAAGUCGGGACCUAAUCCGAGGCAAAGAGCGUAGGAGAUGGACAACAGGUUGAUAUUCCUGUACCGGCAGCAAUUGUUUGAGCGAAGGAGUGACACAGAAGGGCAGGCAGGCGCGAGACUGGAUUGUCGCGUGCAAGCGUGUAGGGUAGUGUACAGGCAAAUCCGUACACUGAGAGCCUGAGGCGUUACGCGGAGCGAGCAGAGAUGCGAGCGAAGCUGCUGAUCCCACACUGUCGAGAAAAGCUUCUAGUGAGAGAGCUGCCGCCCGUACCGUAAACCGACACAGGUAUGCGGGGAGAGAAUCCUAAGGUGCGCGGGAGAACCCUCGUUAAGGAACUCGGCAAAAUGUACCCGUAACUUCGGGAUAAGGGUAGCCGUCUUGGUGAAGGAACUAGCUUCUGGAGCUGAAGGCGGUCGCAGAGAAGAGGCCCAAGCGACUGUUUACCACAAACACAGGUGCCUGCUAAAGCGAAAGCUGACGUAUAGGUGCUGACACCUGCCCAGUGCUGGAAGGUUAAGGAAGGAUGUCCGGGCAACCAAAGCAUUCGACCGAAGCCCCAGUGAACGGCGGCCGUAACUAUAACGGUCCUAAGGUAGCGAAAUUCCUUGUCGGGUAAGUUCCGACCCGCACGAAAGGUGUAACGAUUUGGGCACUGUCUCAACGAGGGACCCGGUGAAAUUGAAAUACCUGUGAAGAUGCAGGUUACCCGCGACUGGACAGAAAGACCCCAUGGAGCUUUACUGUAACCUGACAUUGGGUUUUGUUGUAUUACGUACAGGAUAGGUGGGAGGCUUGGAAGGCUGGACGCUAGUCUGGCUGGAGCCGGCGUUGGGAUACCACCCUUGAUACAACGGAAUUCUAACCGAGAGAGUAACGAAAUCCGGGACAGUGUCAGGCGGGCAGUUUGACUGGGGCGGUCGCCUCCGAAAGAGUAAC